rnacentral:misc_RNA from 1 species
GUCACAUCCAGCUGGUACUGGCAAUAGAUCCUUCUCAUCAGCAACAAUUAGCUCGGCGUAUGAUCCUUGACCGGCGAAGGAGCAAACGUGAUCCCCAAUACUGAACCGGGUGACGCCGGAGCUGACCGAUUCGACGACGCCGGAGUAGUCAGAGCCGAGGAUGAAGGGGAACGGGAACUUCUCCUGGUACUUGCCGAGUACCUGCAGGUAAUUGGCGUAGUUGAGGCUUGUUGCUCGGAUCCGAACCCGGAC